GACGAACGCUGGCGGCGUGCCUAAUACAUGCAAGUAGGACGCAGUUGCGAACGGGUGAGUAACGCGUAGGUAACUACCUAUUAGAGGGGGAUAACUAUUGGAAACGAUAGCUAAUACCGCAUACUAGUACUUGGACCUUCGUUGUCUUAGCUAGUAGGUUGGGUAAUGGCCUACCUAGGCAACGAUACAUAGCCGACCUGGUGGGGGGAUCGGCCCAACCGGGACUGUGACACGGCCCAGACUUCGUCGGGAGGCAGGAGUAGGGAAUCUUCGGCAAGGGGGGGAACCCUGACCGAGCAACGCCGCGUUAGUGAAGAAGGGUUUCGGAUCGGAAAGCUCUGUUGUGAAGGAAGCGGUACUGAAAGAGAAAGGGACGGCUAACUACGUGCCAGCAGCCGCGGUAAUAG
rnacentral:rRNA from 1 species